AGGACGAACGCUGGCGGCGUGCCUAAUACAUGCAAGUCGAACGGUCUUUCUAUGGAAGCUUGCUCCACUGAGAAGAUAGUGGCGAACGGGUGAGUAACACGUGGGUAACCUGCCCAUAAGAGGGGGAUAACAUCCGGAAACGGGUGCUAAUACCGCAUAGUUUCUUGAUCGCAUGAUCGGGAAAGGAAAGACGGCCUUUGUGCUGUCGCUUAUGGAUGGACCCGCGGCGUAUUAGUUAGUUGGUGAGGUAACGGCUCACCAAGACGAUGAUACGUAGCCGACCUGAGAGGGUGAUCGGCCACAUUGGGACUGAGACACGGCCCAAACUCCUACGGGAGGCAGCAGUAGGGAAUCUUCCGCAAUGGACGAAAGUCUGACGGAGCAACGCCGCGUGAGUGAAAGAAGGUUUUCGGAUCGUAAAACUCUGUUGUCAGAGAAGAACAAGUUGGAGAGUAACUGCUCCAGCCUUGACGGUAUCUGACCAGAAAGCCACGGCUAACUACGUGCCAGCCGCCGC
rnacentral:rRNA from 1 species